GGGUUAUCCCAACAAAUCUUGGCUCUUGACCCCAUUGUCUAAUCCUGUUGGUGAAGCAGAAAAACGUUACCAAGAGACACACAAAGCAUCGAGGGGAGUAAUUGAGCGUGCCUUCGGUGUACUUAAAAGCCAGUUUAGAUGUUUAGACACUUCCGGUGGUGCUCUUUUGUACUCACCGGCGAAGGUUUGCGGCAUGGUAAAUGCAUGUUGUAUUUUACACAACAUAUGUGUCGCAAACCGUUUGCCGGUGACUCUUCGUCGCAGGGAUUUCCGACGCGGGAACCGUUCUUCUGCUCCACCGGUGGGUAUGGACGAAGGAGAAGAUUCUCGACGGACAUUGAUCCAAAGCUUUUUUUCCACUGCCUAGUUUUACGUCCUGUUGACGCACCUUCCCAGUAAUGUUUUCAAUGUUUCGUCCUGUUGACGACCUGUUACCCCCUGUUUUUUCCUGUUGUUGGGUUGCCGCAAAUAUUGGACCCGUUUAUCCCACUCUACCAUGGGCGACCUACUUGUGAUGUGGACCAGAACCUCCGCCAUGUGGCAGACAAACCCCCUCAGGUCUUGCGGGGUAUCCUUCCCAAGUUGCGUGGAUGUGAAGGGACACGACUGUUCCCCUGAUGAACCAUGGGCGACCUACUUGUGAUGUGGACCUGAACCUCCGCCAUGUGGCAGACAACCCCCCUCAGGUCUUGCGGAGUAUCCUUCCCAAGUUGCGUGGAUGUGAAGGGACACGACUGUUCCCCUGAUGUACCAUGGGCGACCUACUUGUGAUGUGGACCUGAACCUCCGCCAUGUAGCAGACAACCCCCC